rnacentral:rRNA from 1 species
GACGAACGCUGGCGGCGUGCUUAACACAUGCAAGUCGAACGAUGAAAGCGGGAGCUUGCUCCUGCUGGAUUAGUGGCGAACGGGUGAGUAACACGUGAGCAAUCUGCCCCGAACUCUGGGAUAAGCGUUGGAAACGACGUCUAAUACCGGAUACGACGCGCGAAGGCAUCUUCUGCGCGUGGAAAGAAUUUCGGUUCGGGAUGAGCUCGCGGCCUAUCAGCUUGUUGGUGAGGUAACGGCUCACCAAGGCGACGACGGGUAGCCGGCCUGAGAGGGUGACCGGCCACACUGGGACUGAGACACGGCCCAGACUCCUACGGGAGGCAGCAGUGGGGAAUAUUGCACAAUGGGCGCAAGCCUGAUGCAGCAACGCCGCGUGAGGGACGACGGCCUUCGGGUUGUAAACCUCUUUUAGUAGGGAAGAAGCGAAAGUGACGGUACCUGCAGAAAAAGCACCGGCUAACUACGUGCCAGCCGCCGCCGUAA